rnacentral:rRNA from 1 species
UACGGGGGGAGCAAGCGUUGUUCGGAUUUACUGGGCGUAAAGGGCGCGUAGGCGGUCGUGACAAGUCACUUGUGAAAUCUCCGGGCUUAACUCGGAACGGUCAAGUGAUACUGUCGGACUAGAGUACAGAAGGGGCAACUGGAAUUCUCGGUGUAGCGGUGAAAUGCGUAGAUAUCGAGAGGAACACCUGCGGCGAAGGCGGGACUCUGGGCUGACACUGACGCUCAUGCACGAAAGCGUGGGGAGCAAACAGG